rnacentral:rRNA from 1 species
UAAGGGAUAUUGGGCAAUGGGCGAAAGCCUGACCCAGCAACGCCGCGUGGAGGAAGACGGCCUUCGGGUUGUAAACUCCUUUUGUCGGGGACGAGACAAGGACGGUACCCGGCGAAGAAGUCACGGCUAACUACGUGCCAGCAGCCGCGGUAAAACGUAGGUGGCAAGCGUUAUCCGGAUUUACUGGGCGUAAAGCGUGUGCAGGCGGAUGGCCAAGUGGUGUAUGAAAGCUCCAGGCUUAACCUGGAGAGGUUAUGCCAGACUGGCCGUCUUGAGGCAGAGAGAGGGACAUGGAAUUCCGGGUGUAGUGGUGAAAUGCGUAGAGAUCCGGAGGAACUCCAGAGGCGAAGGCGGUGUCCUGGCUCUGACCUGACGCUCAGACACGAAAGCAUGGGGAGCGAACGGGAUUAGAAACCCGGGUAG